rnacentral:rRNA from 1 species
CCUACGGGAGGCAGCAGUGGGGAAUAUUGCGCAAUGAUCGAAAGAGUGACGCAGCGACGCCGCGUGAAUGAAGAAGGCCUUCGGGUCGUAAAGUUCUUUCGACAGGGAAGAAAAUGCCUAUAAGUAACUGUGUAUGUAUUGACGGUACCUGUAUAAGCAGCCCCGGCUAACUCCGUGACAGCAGCCGCGGCAAUACGGAGGGGGCGAGAGUUGUUCGGAGUGACUGGGCGUAAAGAGCACGUAGGCGGUGUUGUAAGUCAUUAGUCAAAGACUAGAGCUCAACUUUAGUAAGGCUAGUGAUACUGUCAUCCUAGAGUAUAAGAGAGGUUAGCGGAAGUCCUGGUGUAGCGGUGAAAUGCGUAGAUAUCAGGAGGAAUACCGUUAGCGAAGGCGGCAAUCUGGCUGGAAACUGACGCUGAGGUGCGAAAGCGUGGGUAGCAAACAGGAUUAGAUACCCCAGUAGUC